rnacentral:rRNA from 1 species
UACGAAGGGGGCUAGCGUUGCUCGGAAUCACUGGGCGUAAAGCGCACGUAGGCGGCUUUUUAAGUCAGGGGUGAAAUCCUGGAGCUCAACUCCAGAACUGCCUUUGAUACUGAGAAGCUUGAGUCCGGGAGAGGUGAGUGGAACUGCGAGUGUAGAGGUGAAAUUCGUAGAUAUUCGCAAGAACGCCAGUGGCGAAGGCGGCUCACUGGCCCGGUACUGACGCUGAGGUGCGAAAGCGUGGGGAGCAAACAGG